rfam:Oryza glumipatula chromosome 3, whole genome shotgun sequence.
CUCUAGUCCAAUGUGAAAAUUUGGUAAAUAAAGGUUGACCAAAGUGAAAUUUACUUAAAUUUUUUUAUAACUAGUAUUUUUAUUAUUAUGAGAUGAUAAAACAUGAAUAGUACUUUAUGUUUUUAAAUUUUUUCAAAAAAAUUCUAAAUAAGACGGACGGUCAAAGUUUUGCACAGAAAAUCAUGGUUGCACUUAAA